AUGGCCGCCAGCCCAGCGCCGCUGCGCAGAAUGACUGCCGACCCAGCACCAUUGCACAGGAUGGCCACCAAUCCCGCACCACGAGGCAAGAUGGAAGCCAGACCAACACCACAGCACAAGAUGGCCGCCAGCUCAGCGCCACGAGGCAAGAUGGACACCAGGUCAGCGCCACAGCACAAGAUGGCCGCCAGCCCAGAGCCACUGCGCAGAAUGGCCGCCGGCCCAGCACCACUGCCCAUGAUGGCCGCAGGUCCAGCGACACUGCACAAGAUGGCCAUCAGCCCAGCGCCACGAGGCAAGAGGGACGCCAGCCCAGCGCCACAGCACAAGGUGGUCACCAGCCCAGCGCCACAGCACAAGGUGGUCACCAGCCCAGCGCCACGGUGCAAGAUGGCCGCCAGCUCAGCGCCAACGCCCAAGAUGGCCGCUGAGGCGUUUUUGGAUUAUUUCUCCAUGCUGUCUAAGAUCCUAGAGAUUCCAGUUGACCCUCCAGAGUCGAGUCCGGUUCCAGUUGACCCUCCAGAGUCGAGUCCGGUUCCAGUUGACCCUCCAGAGUCGAGUCCGGUUCCAGUUGACCCUCCAGAGUCGAGUCCGGUGCUCGUGGACCCUCCAAAGUCAGGGUUAGUCACCGUCGACCUUCCGGAGUCAGGUUUAGUCACCGUCGACCUUCCGGAGUCAGGGUUAGUCACCAGUGACCUUCAAGGACCGAGUCAAGUCACCGGUGAUCUUCAUGAACAAGGGCAAGUCACCGGUGAUCUUCAUGAACAAAGGCAAGUCACCACUGAUCUUCAUGAACAAGUGCAAGUCACCAAUGAUCUUCAUGAACAAGUGCAAGUCACCAAUGAUCUUCAGGAGCAGAGUCAAGUCAGCAUCGAUCUUCUGGAAUCCAGUAUAAACACCAUGGGAUUACCAGAGUCUCGUCACUCCUCUGUGGAACUACCACAGCCUCUCCAGGUCUCGGAUGAACUACCAGAACCAUUCCACGUCUCUGCUGAACUACCAGAGUCUCUCCUCGCCUUUGCGGAACUUCCAGAGACUCGUCAUGUCUCAGUAGAUCUCUCUGGGCACCCGACUGUUCCUGUGGAGGCCACGGAGGCUACCCUUAACAUGUUCAUGUUCUGUGUUUCAGACUUGCCCAACCAGACUUGUCCUCCUGUUGGUCCGGCCGCACGGUUGUGGUGGUCUUCUGCUCCGCCCUGGGGGACUCCGAUCUCGACCACACGGACAUGGUGGUCUUCUGCUCCGCCCUGGGGGGCUUCCGCCCUGACCACAUGGUUGUGGUGGUCUUCUGCUCCGCCCUGGGGGGCGUCCGUCCCGACCACACGGUUAUGGUUGUCUUCUGCGCCGCCCUGGUGGGCGUCACGUGAUGUCCUUCUUGGACUUGUGUUUUUGAGUAUUUUUUGUUGUUUUUUUUGGUCUGUCUUUCUUUCGGUUUCCUCCUAUGGACCUGGCCCUCCAUCCCUCCCCCUGAUCCUCCGCCGGUCCACCUCCCUCCUGGGUUUCUUGUCUGUGUCUUUCGUUCCGUUUCCCUCUAAGGACCUGGUCCUCCGUCCCUCCCCCUGA
ensembl:lncRNA